GAUGAACGCUAGCUACAGGCUUAACACAUGCAAGUCGAGGGACCGGCGCACGGGUGAGUAACACGUAUCCACCCUGCCCUUUACUCGGGGAUAGCCUUUCGAAAGAUAGAUUAAUACCCGAUAUAAAGGAUGGGGGUGCGUUCCAUUUGGUUGUUGGUGAGGUAACGGCUAACCAAGCUUUCGAUGGAUUGGGGUUCUGAGAGGAAGGUCCCCCACAAUGGAACUGAGACACGGUCCAAACUCGGACGGAGAGCAGCAGUGAGGAAUAUUGGUCAAUGGGGGCUAGCCUGAACCAGCCAAGUAGCGUGAAGGAUGAAGGCUUAUGGGUCGUAAACUACUUUGAUAUAAGAAUAUGUAUUAGAUGAAUAAGGAUCGGCUAACUCCGUGCCAGCAGCCGCGGUAAUUC
rnacentral:rRNA from 1 species